rnacentral:rRNA from 1 species
GAUGAACGCUAGCUACAGGCUUAACACAUGCAAGUCGCGGGGCAGCAUGUUACUGGCUUGCCAGUAAUGAUGGCGACCGGCGCACGGGUGAGUAUCGCGUAUCCAACCUUCCCAUAUCCACGGGAUAGCCUGCCGAAAGGCAGAUUAAUACCGUAUGUUGUCGCACGCUGGCAUCGAAAUGCGACGAAGGCUUAGCGGAUAUGGAGUGGGGAUACGUCCGAUUAGCUUGACGGCGGGGUAACGCCCACGUGGCGACGAUCGGGUAGGGUUCUGAGAGGAACGGUCCCCACAUUGGAACUGAGACACGGGUCCAAACUCCGUACGGGAGGCAGCAGUGA